GCCGUGCGUAUUAUACACAACGAAUCUUUAAACUUUCCGAUGGUUUAAUUCUAGUUCGAGAUCUAUAAAAUCUGUAACCACAUCCGUGCACUGAGCUAUCUGUAUAUCAAUAUAAAAUGACAGCGACCAGGAUGCUUUGGCAAAGGACAGUGAACUUCGAUAUCUUUGGAUAUACUAUUUUGACAGGUUUAAAGAGAGUUGCCAUUUAUUUGUACACAUGUUGAAGCUUUAUUAAAAUAUGUUUUCGGAUUCCCGGGUAAAAUAUUGUAUUUCAACUGACUGAGAUUUACCUCGAUGGGCGACGAGAGAGGAGAGGACAACGAAAGACAAACCAUUCAGAUAUUCAAGAUAUUGUGCGGGGGACUCAUUGAAUAAACUGCUGGACUGCUGUUUGACCAAGUCGAAAACAAGGUCCGUUCUGUGAAAAUAUUCAAGAUGUGACUCAGCACAGUUUAUGUGUUUAAAGUGCUGAAACACCUUGGUCUGUGGAAGCCUGUCCAGUUCUCCUCUCUCCGCUUGGCUCUGUCCGCUCUUCUGUCCACUCACCCUUGCAGUGAAGAGGGGUAUGGAGUCCACAGAAGGCCCAGUUGGAGUGACCCUGAUGAGUGACCUCAACUUGUCCACUGUAGGCAUGAUGGACGGCAUCUCGGAGGAAGGGGGGAAUUUCUCCACCAACUUCUCUGACCACAGCGUGCCUUUCCAGGGCAGCAGCUCCAUGAUGACGGCCGUCAUCUCGCUGACCGUGUUCCUGGUGGGACUGACCGGCAACACCCUGGCCAUCUACGUGGUGCUGCGCUACGCCAAAAUGAAGACGGUCACCAACAUCUACAUCUUCAACUUGGCGGUGGCCGACGAGCUGUACAUCCUCGGGCUGCCCUUCCUGACCACCCAGAACGUCCUCUCCUACUGGCCGUUCGGCUCCUUCCUCUGCCGCGUGGUCAUGACGGCCGAUUCGCUGAACCAGUUCACCAGCAUAUUCUGUCUGACGGUCAUGAGCAUUGACCGCUACCUGGCCGUGGUGCACCCCAUCCGCUCCACCCGGUGGAGGCGGCCGCGCGUGGCCCGUGUGGUCAGUGCGGCCGUGUGGGCCGUGUCCUUUGUGGUGGUGUUGCCCGUGGUGGUGUUCUCAGAUGUCCAGGACACCUUCCGUUCUUGUAACAUGAACUGGCCAGAGCCACACAACGUGUGGUCCACCGUGUUCAUCCUCUACACGGCCAUCUUGGGUUUCUUCGGGCCACUGCUGGUCAUCUGCCUUUGCUACCUGCUCAUUGUGGUGAAGGUGAAGUCGUCGGGGGCGCGGGCCGGCUUCACCAAACGGCGGCGCUCGGAACGUAAGGUGACCCGCAUGGUGGUGGUCAUCGUUGUGGUAUUUGUCCUCUGCUGGCUGCCCUUCUUCAUCAUCAACAUUGUCAACCUGGUGGUCAUCCUGCCGGAGAGCAGCGCCAUGGCCGGCAUCUACUUCUUCUCGGUCAUCCUCUCCUACGCCAACAGCUGUGCUAACCCACUGCUGUAUGGCUUCUUGUCUGACAACUUCAAGCAGAGUUUCCGGAAGGUGCUGUGUGUGCGUAAAACCAAUGGUGUGGAGGACGGCGACCCCAGCCAACCGCGUACAGAGAAGACCACUACGCAUGACACCUUCCUGACGCCUCGCAACAACGACUUCAAUGGCCAAGUGCAGAGCAGCCAGGUGUCUCCUCACACUCCCAACCUCGGGACUUCUGCCUCUCAUGCUGCAGACCUCAGCUUGCACUCUGUUGCCACGUCAACCUCCAGCCAUGACCUCUGAACCUCUGUCAGCACUUCAGCACCCAUAGGUGGAGAGACUGCGCUUUUUCAGCGCGCCAGCCAUGUAACGUGGACGAGUGCUGAGAACAGUGGCUACAAACCGGAGGUUGUGGGCUGGAACUCAAGCUGGAACUCAAGCACGGCCGACUCCAGCGGGUACUCUUUCAAAGACUCAGUGUGGGAAAAGGUUAUUCUGCAAGAUGGCAAAAUUGCACACUGAGUGAUCACGAAGGAGAUGAUGAUGAAAGGAAACAAUCCAAAAAGUCAUUAUGAGCCAGCAUCCCU